GACGAACGCUGGCGGCGUGCUUAACACAUGCAAGUCGAACGGAAAGGCCCUGCUUUUGUGGGGUGCUCGAGUGGCGAACGGGUGAGUAACACGUGAGUAACCUGCCCUUGACUUUGGGAUAACUUCAGGAAACUGGGGCUAAUACCGGAUAGGAGCUCCUGCUGCAUGGUGGGGGUUGGAAAGUUUCGGCGGUUGGGGAUGGACUCGCGGCUUAUCAGCUUGUUGGUGGGGUAGUGGCUUACCAAGGCUUUGACGGGUAGCCGGCCUGGGAGGGUGACCGGCUACAUGGGGACAGAGAUACGGCCCAGACUCCUACGGGAGGCAGCAGUGGGGAAUAUUGCACAAUGGGCGGAAGCCUGAUGCAGCAACGCCGCGUGCGGGAUGACGGCCUUCGGGUUGUAAACCGCUUUCGCCUGUGACGAAGCGUGAGUGACGGUAAUGGGGAAAGAAGCACCGGCUAACUACGU
rnacentral:rRNA from 1 species